CCAAACCAACAAGCUUGCUUGUUGGGGUUGUAGGACUGAACAUUAGAGUUACCAAAGUGCGACGUAGUCGCAACAGUUGGGAAGCUGUGCCAUAGAGGGUGAAAGCCCCGUAGAUGAAACGUCACACUCUCUGUUUAGGAUCCUGAGUACGGCGGGACACGUGAAACCCCGUCGGAAUCCGCGAGGACCAUCUCGCAAGGCUAAAUACUCCCUAGUGACCGAUAGUGAACCAGUACCGUGAGGGAAAGGUGAAAAGCACCCCGGAAGGGGAGUGAAAUAGUUCCUGAAACCA
rnacentral:rRNA from 1 species